UAAGACGAAGGAUGCAAGCGUUAUCCGGAUUCAUUGGGUUUAAAGGGUGCGUAGGCGGCCUAAUAAGUCAGUGGUGAAAUCUCCUCGCUUAACGAGGAAACUGCCAUUGAUACUGUUGGGCUUGAGUACAGAUGCUGUGGGCGGAAUAUGACAUGUAGUGGUGAAAUACAUAGAGAUGUCAUAGAACACCGAUUGCGAAGGCAGCUCACAAAACUGUAACUGACGCUGAGGCACGAAAGUGCGGGGAUCAAACAGGAUUAGAUACCCUGGUAGUCCGCACUGUAAACGAUGAUCACUCGCUGCUAGAGGGCAACUUUUAGUGGCUUAGCGAAAGCGAUAAGUGAUCCACCUGGGGAGUACGCCGGCAACGGUG
rnacentral:rRNA from 1 species